CCUACGGGAGGCAGCAGUGGGGAAUAUUGCACAAUGGGCGCAAGCCUGAUGCAGCCAUGCCGCGUGUGUGAAGAAGGCCUUCGGGUUGUAAAGCACUUUCAGCGGGGAGGAAGGCGUUAAGGUUAAUAACCUUGUCGAUUGACGUUACCCGCAGAAGAAGCACCGGCUAACUCCGUGCCAGCAGCCGCGGUAAUACGGAGGGUGCAAGCGUUAAUCGGAAUUACUGGGCGUAAAGCGCACGCAGGCGGUCUGUCAAGUCGGAUGUGAAAUCCCCGGGCUCAACCUGGGAACUGCAUUCGAAACUGGCAGGCUAGAGUCUUGGAGAGGGGGGUAGAAUUCCAGGGGUAGCGGUGAAAUGCGUAGAGAUCUGGAGGAAUACCGGUGGCGAAGGCGGCCCCCUGGACAAAGACUGACGCUCAGGUGCGAAAGCGUGGGGAGCAAACAGGAUUAGAUACCCGAGUAGUC
rnacentral:rRNA from 1 species